GUUCGAUUCUGGCUCAGAUUGAACGCUAUGGGAUGUUUACACGCCGCAAAGUCGAACGGCAGCACGACUUCGGUCUGGUGCUGAGUGGCGAACGGGUGAGUAAUGUACCGGAACGUGCCUAGUAUGUGGAUAAUCAGCGAAAGCGUAGCUAAUACCGCAUGGCCCUUCGGGGGAAAGCGGGGACCUUCGGGCCUCGCACUCACGAUGUCACGAUAUCGGAUUAGCUAGUUGGUGGGGUAACGGCUCACCAAGGCGACGAUCCGUAGCUGGUUUGAGAGGACGACCACCAUCAGACCAUACGCCCAGACUCUACGGAGGCAGCAGUGGGGAAUUCUGGACAAUGGGGGAAACCCCUGAUCCAGCCAUCCCGCGUGUGCGAUGAAGGCCUCGGGUUGUAAAAGCACUUUUUGGCAGGAAAGAAACGGCACGAUAUUACCCUCGUGCAACUGACGGUACCUGCAGAAUAAGCACCGGCUAACUACGUGCCAGCAGCCGCGGUACGUAGGGUGCAAGCGUUAAUCGGAAUUACAUUGGGCGUAAAGCGUGCGCAGCAGGCGGUUCGGAAAGAAAGAUGCGGAAACCAGCCAACUUUGGAACUGUACUUUUAACUACCGAGUUGUGAGUUGCCAAGAGAGGAAUCAGCGCAGAAACAGUGAAAUGCGUAGAUAUGCGGAGGAACACCGAUGGCGAAGGCAGCUCUGGGAUAACACCAUGAUUUGCGCACGAAAGCGUGGGAGCAAACAGGACGAUAUGUUCCGUAGUCCAAUGUCUGGAACGAUGUCAACUGGCUGUUGGGGCCUUCGGCCCAGAGCAGCUAUCGCGGUGAAGUUGACCGCCUGGGGAGUACGGUCGCAAGAUUAAACCCAGCAGUUCGACGGGGACCCGCACAAGCGGUGAUGAUGCGCGUGGAUGAAUCGACGCACCGAAAAACCUUACCUGUUCCCGACAUGUCUGGGAAUCCUGAAGAGAUUUGGGAGUGCUUGCAGGAGAACCGGAACACAGGUGCUGCACGGCUGUCGUCAGCUCGUGUCGUGAGAUGUUGGGUUAAGUCCCGCAACGAGCGCAACCGCGUUUAGGUUGCUACGAAAGGGCACUCUAACGAGACUGCCGGUGACAAACCGGAGGAAGGUGGGGAUGACGUCAAGUCCGGCGGUCUUUAUGGGUAGGGCUUCACACGUCAUACAAUGGUCGGGACAGAGGGUCACCAACCCGCGAGGGGGAGCCAAUCCCAGAAACCCGAUCGUAGUCCGGAUCGCAGUCUGCAACUCGACUGCGUGAAGUCGGAAUCGCUAGUAAUCGCGGAUCAGCAUGUCGCGGUGAAUACGUUCCCGGGUCUUGUACACACCGCCUGUCACACCAAGGAGUGUGGUUUUACCAGAAGUAGUUAGCCUAACCGUAAGAGACAACGGUAGGAUUCAUGACUGGGGUGAAGCGUAUCAGGGCA
rnacentral:rRNA from 1 species